ACAUCUAUGGUGAAAUGGUAUCAUGCAUCCUUGCCACGAGCGAGUGGAUGCGGUGGGGGUUCGAUUCCCCCUGGAUGUA
rfam:Trichosporon asahii var. asahii CBS 8904 unplaced genomic scaffold scaffold00167, whole genome shotgun sequence.